rnacentral:lncRNA from 1 species
AUCACCGCACCUAUGAUGGAUGUGCUUCAUCUCCUCUGACAUGGAUAAGCUCAAGCUUCCGAGACUGAGGUGAUCAGCCUGGAUUCCAGUGAUGCCUUUGGGCUUCCUGGAGUGAAGGAUGAUUUUCCAUGAGCAGAAAAGGAUUUGUCUUCGAAUCCUGCUACUGUAAACUCUGAGAUAAGUAAAUGGAAACAGAUACAAGUCUUGAGAAUAAAUCCGACUGCUUACAUAGCAUGUAUGUUAACCUCUUCUUUUUGGCAGGUAGGAAAGGAUCAUCGAGCUGAUACACCCCAUCUCCUUGCCUACAAGCAGGACCUUCACUCAAGGAGGAGCCAAGAAGCAGAUGAUGAAACAGCCUGUUUAAGAUUCUGAGAGAUUGAGUGUUGAUACAACCUGGAAUGUGAAGAAAUUCUGCCAACAUAUGGGUUUGGACAGAGGCAGUGGGGACUGCAAAAGGCAUGCCGUAAGAGGAGUCGAGUGGGUGCUG